CACCUCUAGCAUAAAAAGUAUUAGAGGCAUUGCCUGCCCAGUGACAAAAGUUAAACGGCCGCGGUAUUCUGACCGUGCAAAGGUAGCAUAAUCAUUUGUUCUCUAAUUAAGGACUUGUAUGAAUGGCACGACGAGGGUUUUACUGUCUCUUAUAUUUAAUCUAUGAAAUUGACCUUUCCGUGAAGAGGCGGAAAUAAAUAAAUAAGACGAGAAGACCCUAUGGAGCUUCAAUUAAAUACUUUAUAACUUUAAAUACAACUCUACAAGAAAUAACAAAUAACUAAUUUAAAAGUAAAAAAUUUUGGUUGGGGUGACCUCGGAGCACAACAAAACCUCCGAAAGAUUAAAAUAUAGACCUACAAGUCGAUAUUAAUACAAAUCAUAAUUGACCCAGAAAUCUGAUCAAUGAACCAAGUUACCCUAGGGAUAACAGCGCAAUCUUAUUGGAGAGUCCAUAUCGAUAAUAAGGGUUUACGACCUCGAUGUUGGAUCAGGACAUCCUAAUGGUGCAGAAGCUAUUAAGGGUUCGUUUGUUCAACGAUUAAAGUCCU
rnacentral:rRNA from 1 species